rnacentral:tRNA from 1 species
UGGCCCGUAGCUUAACGGUAGAGCGCGGCACUGUUAAUGCCGGAGGUGCAGGUUCGAAUCCUGCCAGGCCAGCCA